GAUGAACGCUAGCGGGAGGCUUAAUACAUGCAAGUCGAGGGGUAACAGUGGAGCUUGCUCCAGCUGACGACCGGCGCACGGGUGAGUAACGCGUACACAACCUACCUUCAAGAGGGGCAUAGCCUCGGGAAACUGAGAUUAAUACCCCAUAGUAUUAUCAAUUUUAUGAAUAGAUAAUUAAAGAUCCGUCGCUUGAAGAUGGGUGUGCGUAUGAUUAGAUAGUUGGUGAGGUAACGGCUCACCAAGUCGACGAUCAUUAGGGGGCGUGAGAGCGUGGCCCCCCACACGGGUACUGAGACACGGACCCGACUCCUACGGGAGGCAGCAGUAAGGAAUAUUGGACAAUGGAGGCAACUCUGAUCCAGCCAUCCCGCGUGCAGGAUGACGGCCCUAUGGGUUGUAAACUGCUUUUAGAAGGGACGAAACUUUGGGAUUUAUCCCGAACUGACGGUACCUUCAGAAUAAGCACCGGCUAACUCCG
rnacentral:rRNA from 1 species